CUUCAUCAAUCUUACUGAUUAGUGUACCUGUUGUUUUUUCUUCUCCUGAUGGUUGGUCGAGUAACAAAAAUGUUGUAUUUUCCGGUACAUCAUUAUGGAUUGGAUUAGUCUUUCUGGUAGGUAUCCUUAAUUCUCUCAUCUCUUGAACCUAUUUGUUCCAGAUACAAAAAUGAACUGAAAAUGACCCCUCCCCCGAAUUCUUUCGGGUUGCGAAACACAUUAAAAUUCAAUAUAAGUCUAAGUUCCCAAAAUGUAAAAUACAAAUAAAGAAAACAAAAAAUUAGAGGGAGGGG
rnacentral:misc_RNA from 1 species